GCUUGUCUCAAAGAUUAAGCCAUGCAUGUCUAAGUAUAAAUAGAAUACAGUGAAACUGCGAAUGGCUCAUUAAAACAGUUAUAGUUUAUUUGAUAAUUGAAGUCUACAUGGAUAACCGUGGUAAUUCUAGAGCUAAUACAUGCAUUAAGACCCGACGCAAGAAGGGUUGUAUUUAUUAGAUAUUAAGCCAAUAUUCCGCAAGGUCUAUUGUGGUGAAUCAUAGUAACUGAUCGGAUCCCCAAUUGGGGAUAAAUCAUUCAAGUUUCUGCCCUAUCAGCUUUCGAUGGUAGUGUAUUGGACUACCAUGGCAGUAACGGGUAACGGAGAAU
rnacentral:rRNA from 1 species